rfam:TPA: Bos taurus chromosome X, whole genome shotgun sequence.
UCCCUGGUGGCUCAGAGGUUAAAGCGUCUGCCUGCAAUCUGGAAGACCUGGGUUCGAUCCCUGGGUAGGGAA